UAAGUCGUAUUUUGGAGAGGUUGUAUUUACGACUGUGGAGUAUGAUAUUUAAGUUCGGAUCGUCCGAUGUAAGAAUAUCGAAGUUAGGCAAUAAUGAGCGUAAUUAUGGCUCUCGGGUAAUUUUGCCUAUUUUGAUUAAAUAUUGGAUAUUGGUUGGGAAAUUAAUAUUAUAUUUGGAACAGGACGUGAAGAGGCUCGAGCAGACGAGACCCCAGAUUGACAUCAGGCUUAGGCCUAAUUAGUGAGUGGACUUUUGUUUUAAAUAAAUGCAUGCUAAGUUCACGAUUGAAUAAUUAAUGUCGUGGAGUAUUUUGCCGUCAAUUAAUUUUGACGCUUUUAUUUCUCUGAGAGAGAGUUACCGAAAAUGGGAUUUUCGGUGAAUAUAAAUAUGUAUAUAUGAGAGAGUAUGUAUAAAAAACUGCUAGCUAGCCAUAUGUGUCUGUCCACCUUAAUGGCGUAGCAUAUAGCCGCAUUAUGGUGUGACGUGAGCGUUGGACGUAAGCGUAGUAGCCCUAUAUGAGUGUUUAAUUCAUAUAGGGGGUAUCGGGCACAUAUUUAUACACCCGUCUGUCCACCUUGAUGGCGUAGUGUAGCACCGCAUUAAGCCGUGACGUGAGCGUUGGACGCGAGCGUAGUAGCCCUAUAUAGACCCAUGAAUUUAUAUAGGGAGUAUGGACGAGUGUAAAUACAUACAUAUAUUAUAGAAUCUGAGAGGCUCGAUAUUUUAUGGGAUAAAGGUUUUAUCGCUUGCGGCAUGCAUUCGAUUUUUCCUUAGAAAUUAAUUUGGGGAAACAUAAAUAUUUUAAUUAUUAAUUUAUUUUUGUCCACUCACUCUAACGUUAUUAAAUGUUUUCCCCUGGGCCCUUCGUUUUAAAUUGCCCAGUCUGCAGAGUUCGGGUUGGAUCUAGUAGGAGACGAGGCAUAGUCACCCGCUUUUCGGCCAGUUUUCGUCAGUAGGUUACCUGUUCAACCUACUUGUGUUUUCUUGCUUCCGCUUGUGUUUAGUAGCUCUGAAUACUUUAGAAUUU
rnacentral:lncRNA from 1 species